rnacentral:rRNA from 1 species
GAUGAACGCUAGCGGGAGGCUUAACACAUGCAAGUCGAGCGGGAUUGGUAGCAAUACCAUGAGAGCGGCGCACGGGUGCGUAACGCGUAUGCAACCUGCCUUAUACAGGGGGAUAGCCCAUGGAAACGUGGAUUAAUAUCCCAUAGGAUUAUAGUUUCGCAUGAAACAAUGAUUAAACCGAGGUGGUAUAAGAUGGGCAUGCGUCUGAUUAGGUAGUUGGUGGGGUAACGGCCCACCAAGCCGACGAUCAGUAGGGGGUCCUGAGAGGGGUUUACCCCCCACACUGGUACUGAGACACGGACCAGACUCCUACGGGUGGCUG